CUGGGCGUGAUGUAUACCCAACAGCUGACUCACGAUGAAGGUUGUUGUAUUCAUACUGUCUGAUCCAG